AGAUCAGGAAAGAGCACC
rnacentral:rRNA from 6 species